CGAGAGUGACGGCGGCGCGCUCUGUUUUAUCUGUCAGCUUCCCCUCCACGGCGCAUCUUCAUAGCUCGUGUGGUAGUUGCUAACAUCAAAGGCAGCUGUCGCGGAGGCAGCCGGAGCACUGGAGGUUGCUCUGAAAGACACUGAGACCCCUGGUUCCUCUCACCGCCAGAAUGGGUAGAUGAUGCAGUGUGCAGUGGGCUUCUCUGGGAUUCAGGGCUUUUGUCCCACACACACAAACACACACAAACCGCCUUGGGCUGGGACCCAUCUGUGUGAGGGCAUUGGCCCUGCCGCAUCUGCAGAGGCCUAGUGAAGGUGAGGGGCCGAGAGAGAGGGAGAGCAAAUUAAAGCUCACGGUGGGAAGCUUGCGCCCCUGGCACUCUUCUUAUGCAACAGCUGCACCUACAACAACCAUCAUUUCACAUCCUGACAUAUACGCCCAGCCGGGCGAGCGUACUGGCCAAUGCCAGAGCA